AAGUAAGAUAGCUUCAUCCUCAGGCAACAGGUUUAUGUUAUCUUAUCAUGGAGUCAUUUUUAAGUUUGUGCCCAAUGCCUUCAUCCUUAGAAUGGCUGCCCAGAUGGCAAGCCACCGUACUCAGGCGACUGCCGCGCUAGCAGGGUGCUCCAACUUUUGAUGCUGGCGAAGCUUUUGGAAUGAUGGCUACAUAAUUUGUUAGUCUCCGUUGGAAGCUUAAUUAAACUGAGGUUCAGAUGUGUGGCAAAGGAUUUCAAUUUUCCUGUUUACACAAAGGAAACUUGAGGAAGGUUCAGAUUUUUCAUGCUCGGUGCUGUGCUCUCAAGGUUACAUAGACAAAAAUGCCUCCUAUUUACACAACGGCAACCCGACGAAGGUUCAGAUUUCUCAUGACUGGUUCAAUGGGUAUUUCAUGCCUGUGCCAUCUUAAUUAUUAGGAAAAUGUAGUUUGUUUUAUAGCUGAUGAUGCUCGAUGCUUUUUACCUCAGUUUAGUAAAUGCUCAGUUUUAGCUCAUAAACUACAUGGCAAACAGGAUGACGGGGCGGGGCGGGAGGUGGGGAAAGCCGUCCAUGGCGAUCCUGGUGGCGUUGCUAAUGGCGUCAUUGGCACUGCCGCUCCUCAUGGUGCCCGACACGCUCUCUA